rnacentral:lncRNA from 1 species
GUGCCUUGGCAACAGUCUCUCUCUGCAAGCAUCUCUUCACCCAAGCAAUGAAUUUGGGGCACUCAGCCUCAACGCUGAACUUUCCAAAUGUCUCAUACGAAUAAAACCAACAAUAGUACGGGAUCAAACACAAAUCCACAUACCCAAAGUUGUCUCCUCCGAAAAAAGGCUUGUCUCCAAGCUCCCCUCCCAAGGUCUUCAGAACUUCGAUGAACUCCUUCUUUGCUGCCUCCUGCUCUUCUCCCUUUGUG